CAUUGAACGGACUCAUUCGUUACUAGGAUGGUAGCGACAAGGGAAUGGCAAUGGACACCUCUGGAUGAGGAAAGGACUUAACAUCAGGAUGAUGUCAGGGACACCGCUCAGGGAACAAGUGAUGUGAGCUAACGAGGAUUGUUAGCAGAUCAGGAAGAUUAUGGACACCGCUAGGAUGGCGAUGAAAGGAUUGCGCUGAAGGAAUACAGCACACUUAUCAAGGAAUAGAUGCAGGGAGCACCUAUUAGUAGCUGGAUUGCUGCAAGUAAGACUAUAACCCCGAAGGGCUCGCGCCCUCGGGGUUUUUCUUUU
rnacentral:other from 1 species